GACGAACGCUGGCGGCGUGCUUAACACAUGCAAGUCGAGCGGUAAGGCCCUUUCGGGGGUACGACGAGCGGCGAACGGGUGAGUAACACGUGGGUGACCUGCCCUCAGCUCUGGGAUAAGCCUGGGAAACCGGGUACUAAUACCGGAUAUGACUCCAUGACGCAUGUUGUGGGGUGGAAAGCCUUGUGCGGCUGAGGAUGGGCCCGCGGCCUAUCAGCUUGUUGGUGGGGUGAUGGCCUACCAAGGCGACGACGGGUAGCCGGCCUGAGAGGGCGACCGGCCACACUGGGACUGAGACACGGCCCAGACUCCUACGGGAGGCAGCAGUGGGGAAUCUUGCGCAAUGGGCGAAAGCCUGACGCAGCGACGCCGCGUGAGGGAUGA
rnacentral:rRNA from 1 species